GUAGGGGCAUUGUCGCGCGUACUGCGGGUCGACUGGGGACUCAGUCCCCGCGCAAAGCGGACAAUAUAUGCCGGACUCAUGGUGCCCUGUGCACUAUUUGGUGCCUCGGUUUGGUCUGUCGUGACGACGACGCAAGUGGUUGCCAGGAGGCAUCUGCUUGCGUGCCAAAGGAUCGUCCUGAUUGGAUGCCUACCGGUAUGCCGAACAGUGUCCACCAUGGCGCUGCAAGUACUAGCUGGAGCCCCCCCGUUUGAUCUGGUUGCCAGACGCCUGGCAAUCAGCUUCAAACUAAAGCGUGACUACCCGCUGGAGGAGAGCGAUUGGCUGUACGGCGAAGAUUUGGCAAAUCUUAGCUGGAAGCAGAAGAUGGCGCGACUAGACGAAGACCUGUUGUGCGAGUGGCAACGCAGAUGGGAUGAUGGUGACUCCCCAGGACGGGUGACGCACCGCUUCAUCCCGAACGCAGGCUUCGCCUACAGCGAACGAAGGUUUGGCCACGGUUCGCCGGACUGGCGUUCUCCAGGCGACAGCAGCUGCUGAAUGCGCAAGCGGCGCACGGGCUGGGUGGAUUCCCUAUCCAGGCCGGUCGGGGCUAAAAGGGAGGAUCGAGCUGAGUCCUUCAGAUCGGUACCACGGGUUGUGCAGUUCCAAGGCUGCACAUUGAGGUCGGCCCCCUAGUGGGAGUAUCGUGGUGGCUGUGGUUGAUACCCAAACGUUACGCGGGGAGAGCCGCUAGGCUCCUCGUGGAGUUGCGCUCUCCAUCGGGUGCCGAGACCUAUAGAUCGGAAGACGUGUUAGAUACACCUCGCCCCUCACCAAGGGGGAUUGUAUGCCCGACCAGGAUACUUUCAAUUGGUACCAGAAGAGUCGCUAUGUACAUAGCUAUAGCUUCUUUUUAGGGGCGCUAACUGGCGCAUUGUACCAGGUUCCUGCGUAUGUAGCGGUGGUGCGUGAUGGCGUGAUAUAUGUAAAUAUAUCGCACUAAUCGAGGCUAAGCUGCAAAUAAACAUUAGACGCCGUGGUUGAAAUCCCUCCCUGAGGAACCGCCACGUAAAAUAAAGCUGAGAGAUCAGAUUCAUUCUGUCCCUAUCUACUAUCUAGCGAAACCACAGCCAAGGGAACGGGCUUGGAAUAAUUAGCGGGGAAAGAAGACCCUUUUGAGCUUGACUCUAAUCUGGCAGUGUAAGGAGACAUAAGAGGUGUAGCAUAAGUGGGAGAUAUUAGAUUUCGGUUCGGUAUCGACAAUGAAAUACCAUUAUUCAUCAUUUUUCCUACAUUAUUUGAUUAAAUGGAACGCAUAAAAUUUCCUAGCCAGGAAAUGGACCUAUUUCAUAUAUACAACCAGCAAUUCUUUGAUGCAAGAAAGACAUUCAAAGGACCAGGGACAAGCGAGCCAAUCUCAAACUAAUUGCAGAAGGAGAAAACCCAUGU
rnacentral:ncRNA from 1 species